rnacentral:rRNA from 1 species
UACGAAGGGGGGCUAGCGUUGUUCGGAAUUACUGGGCGUAAAGCGCACGUAGGCGGAUUUGUAAGUCAGGGGUGAAAUCCCGGGGCUCAACCUCGGAACUGCCUUUGAUACUGCAAGUCUCGAGUCCGGAAGAGGUGAGUGGAAUUCCUAGUGUAGAGGUGAAAUUCGUAGAUAUUAGGAAGAACACCAGUGGCGAAGGCGGCUCACUGGUCCGGUACUGACGCUGAGGUGCGAAAGCGUGGGGAGCAAACAGG